AUGCAUAAAGUGAGUCCUGUGGCUGAUGGAGGACUAAGACUAAAGAUCUUUGAAGGAGCACAGAGGGGUGGUUGGAAUGGAAGGAGGAUGAAUGGAUUGGUACACCUCCAAAGGACAGUAGAAUUCGACUGCAUGGCCUUCUCCUUGUUAUCUCCUACACUUCAACCCUUAAAAGAAGCUGGAAGCCAGAAGAAAAUCUGAAGAGGAUGUGCCUCUGUUAAAUGGUGGGCUAGAGCAAAUGUUUUCCUUAUAGACAUUGGAGCUGCUCAUGAGAGGAAGAACAGGAGAGUGCGAGCCCAGCAAGAUAGCAGCCUUCCUUCUGCUACCAGGCACACAUUGUGGAGCCCCAGAUAGAAGCCAGCAUGUCUCACAACUCUGCUGCUGUCCUGCGUCUCAGCAGGACCUCACCUCCUACAGUGUUCAACCAGAUCCUCUCCUAUGCUUUUCUUCAAGGUUAAAUGCCAGUUCUCUGCCAGCUGAGUCUGCCAAGGCUCGCUCCCAAAUGUUCUCCAUUGCCAGUUUCUGAUACUUUGAAAAAUUAGAUGUAUGCGAUAUAAAAAUCACAGCGAAAUUCACAAAGGUUAUUUGGAAUGUAGAAAUGAUCAGGCCCAAAUCCCCUUAUAUUAGCACAGCUGAGAAUUACAAACAAACUGGUGGUGAAAGCAAGACACUGCAGUCUUCAUGACAGCAAGCCUGCCUAUAGCAGAUCCAUCUGACAAUAUAUGCAAGCACUUGCAAUCUGUUCUUCAGGCUCUUUCUGAGGUGAUUCAGCACUUAAAGAUGCAGUCUCCAGUACUACAUUUUUCUUCUUGAGCCAGAACUCCUCAAAGAAACCCAACCCAACAUUAAUAAAACACGCAAUUACAAAUGCUCUUACCUGACUUACCAUGCUGAAUGCAUUUUUAAUGUUACAUUUGACUUCACGAUGCUUUGUGCUGCUGCUCGGAUCUGCACAAUCUCCGAGAGACAUCCUAGAGAUCUGGUGGGUGGACCAGCCUCCAGUUUGGCAUCUCAGUGUUGGCCAGCACCUGGUGGCAGAGGAGAGAGGCCAGCACUUCCAGCAUUGUUUCCCUAGAGAGGCAGAAAUUGCCAGUGCCUGACUCUUAAAACAUUUUGGUUUUUUGCUUUGUCUUGUCUGUCAUUUUAGAGAGUUGCGGAUCUCCAGACUUCAGCAUUGACAACUCCAGGUUUUGCUUUUCUGCUCUUGGUGAUACUCAUUAAUUUACCAGUGCUAAGCAUGGAUGGGAAGCUGACUGUUAACUAGUUCCAAUUGCAGGUUUAUUAUUUACACUCCAGAGUGUAUUAAUUAUCCUAAUAACAAGACUUAGUGUUCUGUUUUGUUCUCAUCUCUCUCACUUCACAGACUGCUUAAACUCAUGCUGGUGAACCAGAAGUCCAUAGACAAACAUCCUUAAGAGCCCCAAGAGACUUGCUGGUUUCUCACACUUUGAAGAAUAAGAUGAAUUGCUGGCUUACCUGAGGAAGCUCAGAGGAAGACUAUCUCCAGAAAACAGCAAUAAAAUACCAGAUAGAAAAUGUAGUUGCCUUUCUCUUUUUAUUUUUUGGCAUUGUGAGUAAAGCUCUUUCCUCUUUGCUUCAAAGAGCUGAAGAGUAAAGUAGUGUUUGAUUUGAUUCUUCUGCUCCUCUUUUCUAAAUCAGAAUGACACCUGUGUUGCCUUCCAUACCAACAGUCAAUUUAUCAUUAAAUACGUCAACUGCCGAAUACAAUUCAAAUAUUGGUUGAAGAAAACAAAAGCUCUUUAAAGAGAAACUGGAUUUUCAAAGGUAACUGCUGUAAGGCUGCAUUCCUUCUAAGGGUAGAAUCUAAGCUGCUGCUGACACAUCAGAUUAGAAAAAUAAUCAGCUGCAUCUUCAAAGAACAUUCUCGUCUUCUGCAUUUAAUUCUUUUGGGCCUACAUGUAAAUAAAGUGCUUAAUUCUUUAAAUCC
ensembl:lncRNA